rnacentral:rRNA from 1 species
CAGGGAUUGCCUCAGUAACGGCGAGUGAAGCGGCAACAGCUCAAAUUUGAAAUCUGGCCCCUCGCGGGGUCCGAGUUGUAAUUUGUAGAGGAUGCUUCGGGCAAGGCUGCGGUCCAAGUCGCUUGGAACAGCGGGUCAGAGAGGGUGAGAAUCCCGUCCCGGGCCGCGCGCCGCGUCCGUGUGAAGCUCCUUCGACGAGUCGAGUUGUUUGGGAAUGCAGCUCUAAAUGGGUGGUAAAUUUCAUCUAAAGCUAAAUAUGGGCCAGAGACCGAUAGCGCACAAGUAGAGUGAUCGAAAGAUGAAAAGCACUUUGAAAAGAGAGUUAAACAGUAUGUGAAAUUGUUGAAAGGGAAGCGCUUGCGACCAGACUUGCGCGUGGCGGUUCCCCCGGCCUUUGGGCCGGGUUAGUCCGCCACGUCCAGGCCAGCAUGGGUCCGGGUGGGCGGUGAAAGACCCCGGGAAUGUAUCUACCUUCGGGUCGACUUAUAGCCCGGGGUGCAAUGCGCCCUGCCCGGACCGAGGAACGCGCUUCGGCUCGGAUGCUGGCGUAAUGGUCCUAAGCGGCCCGUCUUGAAACACGGACCAAGGAGUCUAACAUCUAUGCGAGUGUUUGGGUGUCAAACCCCUACGCGCAAUGAAAGUGAACGGAGGUAAGAACCCCGCAAGGGGCGCAUUAUCGACCGAUCCUGAUGUCUUCGGAUGGAUUUGAGUAAGAGCAUAGCUGUUGGGACCCGAAAGAUGAUGAACUAUGCCUGAAUAGGGUGAAGCCAGAGGAAACUCUGGUGGAGGCUCGCAGCGGUUCUGACGUGCAAAUCGAUCGUCAAAUUUGGGCAUAGGGGCGAAAGACCAAUCGAAUCAUCUGGUAGCUGGUUUCUGUCGAAGUUUCCCUCAGGAUAGCAGUAACGUUUUCAGUUUUAUGAGGUAAAGCGAAUGAUUAGAGGCCUUGGGGUUGAAACGACCUUAACCUAUUCUCAAACUUUAAAUAUGUAAGAAGUCCUUGUUACUUGAUUGAACGGGGACAUUUGAAUGUAUCGUUACUAGUGGGCCAUUUUUGGUAAGCAGAACUGGCGAUGCGGGAUGAACCGAACGCGGGGUUAAGGUGCCGGAAUGCACGCUCAUCAGACACCACAAAAGGUGUCAAUGCAUCCAGACAGCCGGACGGUGGCCAUGGAAGUCGGAAUCCGCUUAGGAGUGUGUAACAACUCACCGGCCGAAUGCAUUGGCCCUGAAAAUGGAUGGCGCUUAAGCGUGCUACCUAUACCUCGCCGUUGGGGUUGAAAUGAUGCCCCAACGAGUAGGCAGGCGUGGGGGUUUGUGACGAAGCCUCGGGGGUGACCCUGGGUCGAACAACCUCCAGUG